rnacentral:rRNA from 1 species
GACGAACGCUGGCGGCGUGCUUAACACAUGCAAGUCGAGCGGUAAGGCCCUUUCGGGGGUACACGAGCGGCGAACGGGUGAGUAACACGUGGGUGACCUGCCCUCAGCUCUGGGAUAAGCCUGGGAAACCGGGUCUAAUACCGGAUAUGACUCCAUGACGCAUGUUGUGGGGUGGAAAGCCUUGUGCGGCUGAGGAUGGGCCCGCGGCCUAUCAGCUUGUUGGUGGGGUGAUGGCCUACCAAGGCGACGACGGGUAGCCGGCCUGAGAGGGCGACCGGCCACACUGGGGACUGAGACACGGGCCCAGACUCCUACGGGAGGCAGCAGUGGGGAAUCUUGCGCAAUGGGCGAAAGCCUGACGCAGCGACGCCGCGUGAGGGAUGACGGCCU